CCUCUAACUUCGGUCCCUGCUCCUCUUCCUCAAAGAAAAAAAAAUUCGGCUUCUUCUUUCUCCUUGAGUUCUAAACCUCCAAGAACUUCUCCACACCAAGAACUCCAGCUCAAUCAAAAUUCCCCUCUUUAAGUUCCCUAUUUCCUCUUUCUUCUUUGAACUCUCCACAACCAACCGAGCUUGUGAGGGUUUCGGCGAUUUUUUGAUUUGGACCUGAGCAUCAACAGGCUUCUUCUCCUCUUCAAGCUUCAGAACUUGGAUUAGCCAUGUCGACGAUUUGGACCGGCUGGAGCGCGAAUUCUGACGGUUACAAGAGUUGAAGACUGCCGGUACUUCAACGUACAUAGCCAUCCGGAUGGAAUCUCGUCUACAAGCAUGGCGCGACACUCGGGCUUCUACUGGACUUGAGAUUCAAACACAACAAAGUUGGGUGGAUCAAAUGGAGGCGUUGGUUAUCUUGGGGAUGGCGAAGGAUGACUUGGAGCGUUCACAAGUUGUGAUAUACGGAAAAUUGGAGCUCUCGAAACAGAAGUUAGCCAAGAUCAAACAAGAGGCUGCGAAAACAUUAUCCCUCACCGAGGAAUCCUUCAAGGUUGUAUUGCAGUGUGAGCUUGAGCGAACUUAUACAGAGGAAUUGACUAAACUUGAACAACAAGCCUGUAGUCACAAACUUCAUGUAGAUUGAUUGUAACUCUUGUACCUGCAAACUCAAUUUUAUUAAUAGAAAAUAUGUCUUUUUCAUUCAUUA